AACGUAGGUCACAAGCGUUGUCCGGAAUUACUGGGUGUAAAGGGAGCGCAGGCGGGCGAUCAAGUUGGAAGUGAAAUCCAUGGGCUCAACUCAUGAACUGCUUUCAAAACUGGUCGUCUUGAGUAGUGCAGAGGUAGGCGGAAUUCCCGGUGUAGCGGUGGAAUGCGUAGAUAUCGGGAGGAACACCAGUGGCGAAGGCGGCCUACUGGGCACCAACUGACGCUGAGGCUCGAAAGUGUGGGUAGCAAACAGG
rnacentral:rRNA from 1 species